rnacentral:misc_RNA from 1 species
CAAUAUAUUAACAUCCCUGACGCUGGGUUGUGUUGUUGUGCAAUUUUUUGAGAUUUAUUUUUCUCGUUUUUAAAAGUAUUUUAAGAUGGAAACGAUCAAUUUAGAUGGUCCCCAUAGCGUUAAGCCUUUGCCCCAACGACAGCAGAGAGGCAACCAACCGGCCAAUAAAGGCAAUAUUGGCAAGCACGGGGCUCCUAAACAAAAUGUUGGCCCCGAUGGCAGUCCAGCAGAAAAGAAGGCACGAUUCGGUGGCUUGAACAACCAAAAUGGCCGCCCCGCCGGUGGCGUCGCUGCCGGUGGCCAGAAUAACAAGAAUUUCGGAAAUAAGGAUGGAUUCGGCGGCAAUCGCAAUCGCCGCGGAGGAAACCAAAAUAGACAAAAUGUUCAGGGUCCGAAUAACGCAAACCAAAAGUCUACUACUAAUGAAGCAGCGAAGCCGGAAGCCGUAAAUGUCGCUGAGAAUGUUAAUGAAUCUGUGGCUGCAACUCAGCAGCCAGCCCCCAAUGCAAACCAAGGUCCAGGGCAGGUUCAAGGACAAGGGCAAGGUGGUUUCCGCGGUGGUCCUCGCGGUGGCGGCCUCGGCGUCGGUGGCAAUAACCAAGCAGGUGGCGGCAACCAUCCAGGAGGUGGUAACAAUCAUCCAGGAGGUGGUAACAAUCAUCCAGGAGGAGGUAACAAUCAUCCAGGAGGUGGUAACAAUCAUCCAGGAGGUGGUAACAAUCAUCCAGGAGGAGGUAACAAUCAUCCAGGAGUUGGUGGCAAUUACCAGGGAGGCGGAGGUGUACGCGCCCAGCAACAGCAGCGUGAUCGCGGCAAUCGCGGUGGCGGCGGUCAACGGUCGGGAGGUGGUCAAGGGGGGCCCAACAUGAGCAUGAUGGGCGGUAUAGGUGGCGGUCCACGCGGUGGUGGUGGAGGCGGGGAUGAUUUCUUUAUUGCCCAACGUCUGCGGGCCAUUGCUGGGCCUACACUGGAGCUGCCACCCGUGGAGGUGCCCGAGGAGACCAAAUUCUCUGGCCGCAAUCGUCUGUAUGUGGGUAAUCUUACCGGCGACAUCACCGACAAUGAGUUGCGCGAAAUGUUCAAGCCCUAUGGGGAGAUUGGCGAAAUCUUCUCCAACAUUGAGAAGAACUUCACAUUCCUUAAGGUCGAUUACCAUGUGAAUGCUGAGAAAGCCAAGCGCGCCUUGGACGGUACCAUGCGCAAGGGUCGCCAGCUACGCGUCCGUUUCGCACCCAAUGCAACCAUCUUGCGCGUAAGGAACCUCACACCGUUCGUGUCCAACGAGUUGUUGUACAAAUCUUUCGAGAUAUUCGGCCCCAUCGAACGGGCCAGCAUAACCGUCGACGAUCGCGGCAAACAUACGGGCGAGGGUAUCGUUGAGUUCGCCAAGAAGUCCUCGGCCAACGCCUGUCUGCGUUUCUGCAAUGAGAAGUGCUUCUUUUUGACGGCCUCACUGCGCCCCUGCCUGGUGGAGCCCAUGGAGGUGAAUGACGACAACGAUGGGCUGCCCGAGAAGGCCCUCAACAAGAAGCUGCAGGAGUUCAAUCAGGAGCGCAGCGUCGGCCCGCGCUUCGCAGAUCUCAAUUCGUUUGAGCACGAGUACGGCUCCCGCUGGAAGCAGCUGCACGAUCUGUACAAGAGCAAGCAGGAUACCCUUAAGCGUGAGCUCAAAAUGGAAGAGGAAAAGCUGGAUGCUCAGAUGCAGUACGCUCGAUAUGAGCAAGAGACUGAGCUCCUGCGUCAAGAGCUGAGAAAGCGCGAAGUGGACAAUGAGCGCAAGAAGAUAGAAUGGGAAAUGCGCGAGAAGCAGGCCGAGGAAAUGCGCAAGCGCGACGAGGACACUAUGCGUCGCCAUCAAACCGAGAUGCAGACACGCAUGGCGCGCCAGGAGGAGGAUAUGCGCCGACGCCAGCAGGAGAACACAUUGUUCAUACAGGCACAGCAACUCAAUUCGCUGCUCGACCAGCAGGAGGGCUUCGUCGGCAAUGGCGGGGGCGGCAACAACUCCAGCUUCGACAACUUUGGAGGCAACAGCAAUUCGCCCUUUGAAGUUUUUAGAGGAAACAAUAACAACUCAACCAUGACUGGAAAUAGCUCUGGCCCGGGCGGACCCAACAAACAGAAGCAAGUUGAUAGAAUGGGAAAUGCGCGAGAAGCGGGCCGAAGAUAUGCUCAAGCGUGACAAGGACACUAUGCGUUGCCAUCAGAGCGCGAUGAAGACACGCAAGGAGUAUAAACGUUGUAUCUCUGCUCGAUCAGCAGGAGGGCUUCGUCGGCAAUGGCUGUGGCAGUGGUUUUUAGAGGCAGCCAUUGGCACCGGUGGGACCGCCGUUCUGGUUGUUUGAGCCACCGAUUCGUAUAUGCAUAGUCUAGUUUAAUACCAUUGCAGCUGAAUUUCAUAAGCGAAUGGCUCAGUUUUGAACACGUUAAUUUACUUCUCCUCGAACCUAUCCAAAGGCAAGCAACAACUAUGGGAAGUGUAUUCCGUUUGGAUGCUGCUGGUUAAACCACACGAUACCUACGAUUGAUUUAA